GUUGAGAGAGCGGGCAGGGCCAUGUCCCAGCAGCAUCAGGAGGGGAUGGGCUCGCGGUUCUGAGGCUGGAUGCCCGCUCCCUCUGCGACACCCAGUGACGUCCUUCCCUGCCCACCCCUGGCUCAGAGGGACGGACGCCAGGAGAGUCGGGGUGUCCGGCGGCAGCCCCCCGCCAGCUUGGCAUGUGGGCAGGGCAGCUGUCCCCGGAGCGCCUCCCCAGAGGCUGUUCUCCCCAAGAAGGUGUGGAUGUCAGCAGGUGCCUGUCACCCGCUCCCCGCUCCGAGUCCCAACUGUCAAACAAGUGAGAUAGUCGUCGCCUAGCUCCGCGCUCGAGAUUUUAUUGGCAGUUUCAUUGUCACCCAAAAAAACCUCUUUUUCUCGGCGGGCACUUUCCUCAGGUGGGGGCAGGCGAGGAGGCAGGGCGGGCUCCUGACUCGGGCUUUGGCUGGUGGUGGCACCAGUGUCCCUGGCCUGGGGACCCUGGGGACAGAAAGACUCCCAGAGUGGGUUCUGCUCCAGGUGUGGCUGCUCAUCGCCCCUCCAGGGGACCAAGGGAGAUGAGAGACAGGAGGGUGGGCGCCACAAGGGCCCUGGGAACACAGGAGCCGGACAGGGCAGCUCAGCCUGCAGCCCUCCUGGUGGGCAUCCGGGAGGACUCCUUGUGAGGGGUCAGAGCGUGCAGUCCUUAGCUCAGGGACGGGCACCCCAGGGCGAGCCUUCCCCCUGCAGGUCAGAUGGGCAGGGGGCUUCCAUUGGCUGAGGCUAAGCCUGGGAGAGCAUGUCUGUCCCCCCAGAACCUGCAGAGGUGGGUGCUGUCAAGAUACUCUUCUUUUUUUGUAAGCAUUAUUGUAGUGCUGGGGAUCGAACCCAGGGACACUCUCCCACUGAGCUACUUCCCAUUCGUUUUUAUUUAUUUAUUUAUUUUGAGACAGGAACUUGCUAAGUUGCUCAGGGCCUUGCUAAGUUGCCCCGGCUGGCCUCCAACUUGCAAUCCUCCUGCCUCAGCCUCCCGAGUUGCUGAGAUUACAGGUGUGCACCGCUGUGUCCACAUGCAAGACCCUGACUUUACUAAUGAGGAGACAGAGGAUCCCAGGUGUGAGGUAGCCUGGCCCUGUGACCACAGUGGAGAGUUGGUAGGGCCUGGGUUUGACCUUGACCCUCCAUGGCCGGCUGUGACUCACCUCUGGCGGGGAGCUGCGUGUGGACAAUAACGUGUCACUGCGGCGCUGGGCACGUGGGGAAAGCCAUCUGUCCUUGUUGUUGUCAGCCUGGGUGACAUCCGGCUUCUCCACCAUUGUCCCAAGGACUCCCUGGAUGUCCCUGGGUGGUGACAUGGGGCGGCCCAUGUGACCUCCAAGGUCAUGGAGUGAGCUCAGGGGUUGCUCUGGACCCCCUCAGGGGUUCAUCCUGCUCCAAGCUGUGGCCCUGCCUAUGCACCCCUUUCCUGCCCCCGAAAGGGCCACAGGCUCCUCUCCAUGUCCGACCAGCGCCACUGGGAAACUGAGCCCCAGAGACCUGCCUCUUGCCAAGGGCCACGGACCUGGCAGCCAGAAGAGUCUCUGGAGCCAGUGACAUCAGGUUCUGGAACAGACUCCAGCCUCAGAGACGCCUUUGCCAAAUCUCCUAAAGCAUCAGUUUCCAAGAUCAGACGAGAUCAGACAUUCAGACCCAACCUCCUCUGGGUAAUGGGACCAUAAAGGAUUUUUCCCCAUAAGGUUGAAGGGGCCAAGUGACAUUGCUCAGAAAACACUGGAACAUGGAGAAGACAAGAAUAUGAGUGUCUAAAAGACUCCUCAUCCAUCUCAGACCCCAAGCCCUUUUGGGGUGCAAGAGGAAAUGGUGGCCCAGAGAGGACAGGGGGUCCAGGUCGCCACCCCUCCAUGCAGAUGCUCAUGCCUGGGCCUCUGGACGCCUGGUCCAGCCCUCCCGCCACCUGGCUGCAUGGCUCUGUCCCCUGUGACCCUUCCACGCCCCUCUCCCUACAUCUCCGGCCCCUGGUGGCUUCAAGAGCCGGUGCCCCGGGCCCACAGCGAGGAGUGCCACUCUCCUCUCCCCGGCACACUGAAGGUUUUGAAAGUUAAAGUAUUACCGUGGGCUUUGUUGUUGCCUAACUACGACAGACAAAUUGAGAACCAGUUGUCAAAAUGUCAGCGCACAACAGAUCAACAUGCAAAACGAGUCGCGGUGCUCGGUGGUGUAUAAUUAAACAAAAAAUCCCUUUUAGAAAUUUCAGCGAGCGUUGGUUCCACUUUAUAUUUGUCUGUGUGAUUAAUAAAGGCGGCUAAUUUUCAGACUUUAAAAACAGCCAGAAAAUAGCUCCUAAUUACAUAUUAGGUUCCUCGCGGCCCCCGCUGAGCUCCGCCGGCAUUGGUGGGCCGUAGAAUUUGGC
rnacentral:lncRNA from 1 species